GUCUGCUUGGUGCCUCAUGCCAACCCUCUCUCAGCACCUUAGAGCCAUACUCAGCGCCCUAGCACCUUGCUCAUUGCCUCUGAUCGCAGUCUCUGCUUGCCCAGCCCUCUCUUAGUGCGCCUCUCUGCUCGUGCCUCACACCACUCUCUUAGCACCUUAGGGCCGCUCUCUCACGCCCUAGCACAUCACUUAGCACUCUAGUACCAC
rnacentral:lncRNA from 1 species